rnacentral:rRNA from 1 species
AUUGAACGCUGGCGGCAUGCCUUACACAUGCAAGUCGAACGGUAACGGGCCUUCGGGUGCCGACGAGUGGCGAACGGGUGAGUAAUACAUCGGAACGUGCCCGAUCGUGGGGGAUAACGAGGCGAAAGCUUUGCUAAUACCGCAUACGAUCUACUGAUGAAAGCAGGGGACCGCAAGGCCUUGCGCGGACGGAGCGGCCGAUGUCAGAUUAGGUAGUUGGUGGGAUAAAAGCUUACCAAGCCGACGAUCUGUAGCUGGUCUGAGAGGAUGAUCAGCCACACUGGGACUGAGACACGGCCCAGACUCCUACGGGAGGCAGCAGUGGGGAAUUUUGGACAAUGGGCGCAAGCCUGAUCCAGCCAUGCCGCGUGCAGGAUGAAGGCCUUCGGGUUGUAAACUGCUUUUGUACGGAACGAAAAGCCUUCUUUUAAUACAGGAGGGUCAUGACGGUACCGUAAGAAUAAGCACCGGCUAACUACGUG